rnacentral:rRNA from 1 species
CUACGGGCCGCACCAGUGAGGAAUUUUGCGCAAUGGGGGAAACCCUGACGCAGCAACGCCGCGUGAGCGAAGAAGGCCUUCGGGUCGUAAAGCUCUGUCAAGUGGGAAAAAAAUUCUUUGAUGAACAGUCAAAGGACUUGAUGGUACCACUGGAGGAAGCACCGGCUAACUCCGUGCCAGCAGCCGCGGUAAUACGGAGGGUGCAAGCGUUGGUCGGAAUUACUGGGCGUAAAGAGUGUGUAGGCGGUUUGACAAGUCAGAUGUGAAAGCCCCGGGCUCAACCCGGGAAGUGCAUUUGAAACUGUUUCACUAGAGUAUGGGAGAGGAGAUUGGAAUUCCUGGUGUAGAGGUGAAAUUCGUAGAGAUCAGGAGGAACACCCGUGGCGAAGGCGAUUCUCUGGACCAAUACUGACGCUGAGACGCGAAAGCGUGGGGAGCAAACAGGAUUAGAUACCCCUGUAGUC